CCACUUUUUAAGGCAAAGACAAACUUACCUCGCAAGCUUCCAAGCCUCCUUGCCUCAAUCAGUGAUAAAAACACGCCAAGGUUGCCGUUUUCGCCAGGAAAGCUACGCCGAAAAGUCUACAAGCACACGCAACGUUUUUUUCCAAGAUAUGUAUAAGUAUUUAAAUAUAAAUGGCCGAAGCUGCUACUGCUAGCCUAUUAAAUCAAACUAAGUGUCUUCUGCCUUACUUUCGUUGCGACGCAUAAGGACCAUAAAGACAUGCUGCAAAUAUAAUUUGUUAUUCCAUAUAAGGAAGUCUAUGUCUAUCGCAAAAAUAUGUUCUUCCGGUGGAUUCCAUAUAAGGAGGUUUGUU